rnacentral:rRNA from 1 species
UACAGAGACUGCAAGCGUUAUUCGGAUUCACUGGGCGUAAAGGGUGCGCAGGCGGCCGAGUGUGUGAGGCGUGAAAGCCCGGGGCUUAACCCCCGGAAUUGCACCUCAAACUACACGGCUAGAGCAUUGGAGAGGGUAGCAGAAUUCAUGGUGUAGCAGUGAAAUGCGUAGAUAUCAUGAGGAAUACCAGAGGCGAAGGCGGCUACCUGGACAAUUGCUGACGCUCAGGCACGAAAGCGUGGGGAGCAAAAGGG